CAGCAGCCGCGGUAAUACGUAGGGGGCAAGCGUUGUCCGGAAUUAUUGGGCGUAAAGCGCGCGCAGGCGGUCGGGUAAGUCUGAUGUUAAAGCCCGGGGCUCAACCCCGGUUCGCAUUGGAAACUGCUCGACUUGAGUGCAGAAGAGGAAAGCGGAAUUCCACGUGUAGCGGUGAAAUGCGUAGAGAUGUGGAGGAACACCAGUGGCGAAGGCGGCUUUCUGGUCUGUAACUGACGCUGAGGCGCGAAAGCGUGGGGAGCAAACAGGAUUAGAUACCCUGGUAGUCCACGCCGUAAACGAUGAGUGCUAGGUGUUGGGGGUUUCAACACCCUCAGUGCCGCAGCUAACGCAAUAAGCACUCCGCCUGGGGAGUACGCUCGCAAGAGUGAAACUUAAAGGAAUUGGCGGG
rnacentral:rRNA from 1 species